rnacentral:lncRNA from 1 species
AGUCAGGACCUCAGAGAGAAACCUGUAACUACCAACUCGGAGAGAAGCGAGUAGGGAGAGGAAGACUGAUGUACAUCUCAAGGUGAGAAGUGAACGUUUAUUGCUGCGGUCAGGGGAAUGGAGAAGGGACAAUGUUAUUUCCAGCUUUGCAUGUGAUGUGUGGUGAGCCCAUGUGUCUAAGUGUCUUUGUCUGGACGCAAGUGACCCGUUUGGGACUAAGUUUUCACAGAAUAUAUAUCCUCUCUGGCAUUGGCUUACAGGACUCUGGCCGUGUUCUGGCCCAGAGUCUGUGGGCCUCAAUGAAGCAGCCAAGCUUUAUAGCUGCACUUCUUCGAACGAGUUCUGCCCCGCCUAGUCAGAUCAGCCAGGCCAAGCCCACAUCUGGCUGCCCUUCUUUUGUUCACGUGCCUACAGUCAGACUUCAUCAUUUCUUCAAGAUGGGGCUUGAAGUUGCCUUGCUCCAAACGGCUUCCCUCAGGGCGGCCCCUCUCUGCUCCCAGAGUGCUGUGGACCUCUCUCUCUUCUUUCUUAACGCUUCUAGACUCUAUUGCUGCUGGUGAUCCCAUCUGAUCUCCUGAAGAGGUGAUGAUAAAGUCUUUGAGAGCCGGGACCACACCUCACAUUUUUCCCCCUCCCUGAUGACACCUAAAGUAGGGGUUGGCUCACUGAAAUCCCAGCCUAUGCACCGGAUGCUGAAUGAGUCGGGAAUUCUUUCCUCCCACGUGGGACCUAUACCUUGGGAAAGUGACAUUAAAAACAGAGAUAGGUGUGGGGGUGUGAUCUGGGAGGAGCUAAUGGUCCCUGCGAAGGUGUUCUCGGGAAUAAUUAUGAGUAGACAGGAUGCUCAUGUGAAAAGAGUUGCCCGUGGGUAGAGAGCUGAGCUGAGAUGCUGAGGAACCUUGCAUAAGAUUGUUAAGAUUCCAUCUUGCUUUAGAUCCUUGAGUCCUCCAUAACCAAGCCUUUGUGUGUGAGUACACUCAUGCACUCAUGAGUAUGUGUGAGUACCAGCCCAGAUAUGGUCAGAGGAUUCCUGCCUAUCUGAGUUUGGAAGUCUUGGCAUUAUGGACAUAUGCUAUCAUAUCUGGCUUGAAGAUAGGUUUAGGUUCUGGGGACCUAAACCCAGGUCCUCACAUUUAUAUAGUGAGCUUUUUACCCACUGAACUAUCUCUUGAAGCCAAGCCUUUACUUUUGUGGUCAGUUUCUCUUUUCUCUGCUUUGUAGAUCUUUGCUUCACAGCCAGGUAAUGACACAAUUGUUCUUCAGGUAGGGGGUGUUGGUGGUGGUAUUUUCUCUUCUCUAGUCUGUCCUGAGACAGGACCCACAGCCGUAUUGGCUUCCCAGGACUCCCAAAUAGCUCUAGCCCAGAACACAUCUGCAUGGUCUCUCAUGCUGUCUCUCUCUUGAGACAGGCUGAUCUUGAUCUCACAGUCUUCCUGCUUCAGGCCUUCCAAUGCUGAAAUCCACCACCACUGGCUUCCCAGAGCCCACUGUAGAAUCUCUGAUUUACGGUCUGACCUGUCACUGUGAUCUCUCAAGGGAAGGGCUUACUGUAGUGUCUAAGUCUACAUUCUGGUUUCCCCUCUGCAUUCUCUUCAAACGCCCUCAGCAGCCCCUCGAAUCCCUACUCAAGGCACAAGACAAUGCUACCCAGGCUGGAUACCCACGCUGGUGCCUCUGUCUCCUUCAUGAAUACGCCCCACCCCCUUCUCCAUGGCAAACCUCCUUCGUGUCUUAAGUGGUGGGCCACAACACUCAUCCUUCUCUUCCUAUAGCUGUGCUUCACAGAGCCAUCACAACACAAGGAGAAGCUGGGUGUGUGGCUCAGUAGGCGGAGAGCUCGGGAAACAUGCACUGCAUCAACCAGGGCGACAGAAUAUGCCGAGAAUCCUAGAACUCGGGAGGGGAGGGGGACCAGGAAACUCACAAGUUUAAGGGUUUAAUUUAAGGGCUUAAGGAGUUUAAGAAGCAUUCUUAGCUACAUAGUGAGUCUGAAGCCAAUGUGACCUGACUGAGACUUCCCUUUCAAAAACCAAACCAAACCACAAAGAGGUCUUGACAGUUGCUUCUUUAGCAUCUUUGUUCCUUGGCACAAGGGCCCAUGGGCUACCCAGGCAUGGAGAGCGUCUGACUCGGCUUCAGCCUUUCUCACUCUACGUUGCAAUCACCUUGGCCUUUCCUGGAAGUGCCCAGGACCUUUCACCACAGAGCUGUGAACUGAGUCUGCAAAGGCAAUGUCACCCGACAUCCAUGGAUGGAGUAGAAACUCCGUGAGAUCAGAGGCCAUAUGAGGCAGGCAGAAGGAGCUCAGAGAAUGUGUGCCGACUCCCUGUCUCUCAGGCUGAUUCCUAGGGUUUCAGAGCACCAAGUCAUGAAGGACAGGUAUAUGUUGGUCCCUAUGUAGGUAGUUGGGUGGAGGCCCAAACGAGCCUGGAGCGCCAGCCUCCAAGGAGGAAAAGAAAAGAGAUGCUACUUCAGGAGUCAGCCUUGAAUUACAGAGGGAAUCGUUUCAUUCCCUGAAAGUAUGAGAGGAGGGGAAAGCCAUUGAGCUUUAUUAAAAGGUGGCUAUUCUCUUUAAACUGCUGUCACCUUUGGGACUCAGUCCCCUUCUUUUCAAGACAUCUGCUUCCUGGGCUAAUUACAUGGGCCCCCAGAGGCCUUGGAGCAGGUGGGAUCUUACUGAUAGAAGAAGCUGAGAGAGCUAAGGAGAGAAGCCUUCUACUUUGAGCUGAGUACACCAUAGCUAGAAUAUGGUCUCUGAGCUCCUAAGGGAGAGGGGCUUGGGGCUGGCUGAUGCAAUUUGUUCUGUUUCUAAGCCCGUGGGUGUGUACUGUACCUGUGAGAAGGAGGGGCGAGCCUUCAUGACACCUGAGUUCUCAAGUCUUC